AAUUUCCGUCAAGUGUGUCUAUCCAGCUAAAUAUUAAGUUGUGGAAACCAUAAGGUUUGCCGACCAUGCUUCGUGCAUAUUCCCAAGCAGCAGUCUCAUUAAACUUGGCACGGAGAUCAGGAUGCAAAGGGAGCAAUGCAAUAUGUGGAUUGGAAUCAUCUUUUGUCAGCUCAAACUCCCACCAUUCCUCCCACGGUAAAAUAGCAAUUACAUCUUCUCCCUGAAAAUAGAUAC
rnacentral:lncRNA from 1 species